AAAAGGAAAUAACUAAGUCAAUACCCACAUGAAUUAUUAUAAAACCCUUCUCCCUCUCGGUCAUAAGUUGCAAACACAGAGAACAUCAUAUUCCAUAUUUGAAACCCCAUAAAGAACACACUCAAAGUUGCACACACAUAAAACACAAACACACAGGAGGUGUCAUCUCUCCCAAACACCCUCACCCUACCAAUUUUCCUUAUACAUUCAACAAAAUAAACACCUUUGAGCUCCUACCUUUCCUCUCGAUCUGUACAACAAACACACACAUAACCAGUCAACACCACACAUCAACUCUCUCUCUCAUGCGAGUCCGGCGACCGGACUUACCGGCGGAGCCGGUGACGUGGCGGCGGAGCACGGCAGUCAGCGAUAACCACCAACCACACCCCCUUCUGUUGCACGAGAUCAAACGGCCGGCCACCACCAGAUGGUGGUGGCGUACGACGGCGAUAAGAGCGAGAAGAGGGAGGAGAGAGAGAGAGGAGUGGCGGAGAAAGAAAGAGACCAAGAGAGAAAGAGAGAUUGGAGCCACGGACCGGCGGUCGGAGCCACGGAGCAGCGGUCUUCGUCAUUAUCCGACGGGUUUGCCGGUAAGUUGUUUCGACCGAAUCUGUUCCUUGCACUCAGAUGAAGAUGAUGAUAUUUUGUUGAUGUUCGGCGAUUCAAAUCUGGGAGUUUUGGCUUCUUAGUUCAGGUUCUGGUUUCGCAGCGGGUCAAACCCGGUCGACUCGGUCAAACCGAGUCGACUCGGUCAACAAUCAGUCAACUCGGGUCAAUGGGUCAGACCUGGUGUGGUUCGGGUUCAGCUCAGAUCGGGUCCGGUACGGUCAGAUUUGUUAGUGACAGAAGCGGUUCGAGUUGACUCAGUCAACUCAGCGAGUUGACUCAGGUCAACUCAGUCAACGGCAACAGUCAACCAGUCAACAGGUCGGUUCUGGUUCGGUCAAACCUGGUCAGCAGCAGACAAGUUUAGCUCGGGUCAAGCGCGGAGCAUACGGGUCAGAUUUCGCGUUCGAGUUCGGUCAACUCGGUCCAACUCGGUCAGCCGAGUCAACUCAGUUGACUCGGUCAACUCAGUCGGCUCACUCGACAUAUUGACGGAAGACUUGGUUGCAUUUCUAAGACAAGGCACAGUUGGAAUAGGAGGACCAUGAAGAGUCGAGUACUUAGUGGCGUUCAUUUUCUAAAAGACUUAGCUUUAAGACAAGGCACAGUUGGAAUAGGAGGACCAUGAAGAGUCGAGUACUUAGUGGCGUUCAUUUUCUAAAAGACUUAGCUUAGUUGCUUCCGCUGUGCAAUGAAGAUACCAGUCCAGUCACGCCAAUGCUCUGAUAUUUCGGGGUGUGACAGAUUGGUAUCAGAGCUAUAGGUUACAACGAAUAGGGUUGUCUGUAGAGAUACCUAGGCUCUAACCUCAAUUUCUCUCUGGGACUUAGAUUAUUAAAACCUGAAUACAUACAGAACGCCUAAGACUCGAAUAUGGUCUCCAACCGUUGCCGAAAAGCAAACAGUCAAAAUUAUGUUUCCAAACAUACGCUAAAGUGGUGUUUUAUACACGGUACAUAAAACAAUUACAUACAGUACACAAAACUCUGAAAGUUUAGGGAACAUCAAUUUAAGACCUUCGGAAACUCGUGUUGAAGUUUAUUAAAGGUCAUCACGUAGGAACCACGUUUAUUAACUCAGGAAAAACGCCAUUAUUGUGUCGUCUAUGCUAUUUUUAACCGAGCAGGUAACCUACGCAAAACAAAGUGCGGGCGUGCAAGAUUUCACGAAACUCAAUCUACAUGACGACAGAGGUUGAAGUACGUUACAUACGACUUUCGAGGAAGCGGCAGUUGGCACGCGGUGCUGCAAACGACACGAGUCAUGCUAAGGAGAAGACGUAUGUCUCCGCGUUCCCCCUAACUCAAUAAUGACAAAUACGCUAUGUCCGACACUCCGUGGUAAUGUCACCUAAUAACUGGUCGUCACAUGCAACCCCAGGUAAAGUCCUUUAAUUUCUUUUAUUGAAAUUUCGACUUUCACAUUUACUGAGUAGAUUUUCGUAUCUCUGCUCCUCUUGAUGGUCAUUGUGUCACGACCAUUUCUCUCAGCAUAGCGAAUAUUCAUUUGCUUCAUUUCUUGAAAAUUCAUAUGUUACGCAUGCAUCGUUUGUUACGCAUGUGGUUCCGUUUCGAAUAAAGCGUUUCAUUGAAGUUCAAAUAUUGUUUCGCUAAAUCUUAUUGUUGAUUUGUGAUUCGAAUGACCUGCAUGAUUAUAAUUUUUGGCUCCUUUGUUAUCAAGUCAACACAUUUUCUUGAAAUUUAUUUUCUUUUCAAGUUACAUACAUGGUUUUCGUUGUGACCAUGCCGAAAGUCUUCUUGUCAAUACAUGCAAUUAUUGUCGGCUUGCGCCGAAGUCAGAUUCAAUUGUUGAACUUGUUCAUUUCACAUAUUCAAUCCAAGACACCAUAUGAUGUAUUGAAAACAUCAUAUUCGAAUUUGUUUUAUCAAUUGUUUCAUUGUUCUGAGUCGUAGUAGAUUUGCUUGAUCUACGACUCCAUUAGGUCAUUUGUUGAUAUCGACACCUUGUGGUGUCAGUACAGACUUGUAGCUUGGGCUAAUCAUCAUUGAACGUUUUAUGCAAAACACAGGUGAUACUUGUUCGAUCACCACUAUAUUUGAAUUGUUUCAUUCACUACGAUACCUUGUGGCGUCGGUAGAACUUGCAGCUUGGGCUGAUCAUUAUCGAGCGUUUCAUGCAAACUAUUACAUUUGAGCUUGUUGAAAUCUAAAUUCAUUCAUGGGAUGCAAUCAUUUCUAGAAUUCAUUUGCAUCUUGCGAUACGUCCUUGAAUUCACAUCAUUCGAAUAAGUCUUGAUUCGAUUUCAUGAUCGUUCACUCUGGUACUAUUCGUAAUUACUUACAUAUAACGUAACUCUAAGGAGUUGACGUAGUCUAAAUUUCGAGGACGAAAUUUUAUUAACAGGGGGAGACUGUGACGACCGGUAAAUUUACGCUCUUAAUUACGUGAUUAACAGGUGAUUACGCGAUAAUAAAUAGUGUUUACAUUGCAAAUAAACUUAAUUAGGCCUUUGGAGUGCCUCGGAACGUCUAUACAACUUUACAAUGCGCGAACGGUGGUUUACAGAGAAACCUGUGAAACGUUAAACGACAACAGAUUGAAACCGAACAUAAUACUGACAACGCCAACAAAUAUGGAGGUUACACAAAUAUAUUUGUGCUUAUGGAGUUUGGGUUGCGAUAGUGGGUCCCGUAGAAAUUACGGACCACUUACACAUGAGAUGGGCUUGUGGACCCUGGGCCCAAGCCCGAAACCCAUAAGCCUAAACCUACACAAAAUAGGCAAAAUCCCUGUAAAUCUUUGCAAAAUCUAUACAAGAUUUAUAAAAUCUUAUCAAAUCCUACCAAAAUCUCUAAAGAGAUUUUUGUCUCUAAUUGAGAAACACAAGAUCUUACAAGAAAUAUUUGUGAGAUCUCUAAAAGAUCUAUAUACAGGGGACAAAAGGAAAUAACUAAGUCAAUACCCACAUGAAUUAUUAUAAAACCCUUCUCCCUCUCGGCCAUAAGUUGCAAACACAGAGAACAUCAUAUUCCAUAUUUGAAACCCCAUAAACAACACACUCAAAGUUGCACACACAUAAAACACAAACACAUAGGAGGUGUCAUCUCUCCCAAACACCCUCACCCUACCCAUUUUCCUUAUACAUUCAACAAAAUAAACACCUUUGAGCUCCUACCUUUCCUCUCGAUCUGUACAGCAAACACACACAUAACCAGUCAACACCACACAUCAACUCUCUCUCUCAUGCGAGUCCGGCGACCGGACUUACCGGCGGAGCCGGUGACGUGGCGGCGGAGCACGGCAGUCAGCGAUAACCACCAACCACACCCCCUUCUGUUGCACGAGAUCAAACGGCCGGCCACCACCAGAUGGUGGUGGCAUACGACGGCGAUAAGAGCGAGAAGAGGGAGGAGAGAGAGAGAGGAGUGGCGGAGAAAGAAAGAGACCAAGAGAGAAAGAGAGAUUGGAGCCACGGACCGGCGGUCGGAGCCACGGACCAGCGGUCUUCGUCAUUAUCCGACGGGUUUGCCGCGAUUCAAAUCUGGGAGUUUUGGCUUCUUAGUUCAGGUUCGGGUUUCGCAGCGGGUCAAACCCGGUCGACUCGGUCAAACCGAGUCGACUCGGUCAACAAUCAGUUAACUCGGGUCAAUGGGUCAGACCUGGUGUGGUUCGGGUUCAGCUCAGAUCGGGUCCGGUACGGUCAGAUUUGUUAGUGACAGAAGCGGUUCGAGUUGACUCGGUCAACUCAGCGAGUUGACUCAGCUCAACUCAGUCAACGGCAACAGUCAACCAGUCAACAGGUCGGUUCGGGUUCGGUCAAACCCGGUCAGCAGCAGACAAGUUUAGCUCGGGUCAAGCGCGGAGCAUACGGGUCAGAUUUCGCGUUCGAGUUCGGUCAACUCGGUCCAACUCGGUCAGCCGAGUCAACUCAGUUGACUCGGUCAACUCAGUCGGCUCACUUGACAUAUUGACGGAAGACUUGGUAAAGAUUUAACGACAAGAUUAUUUACGUUAUAUUAUGGUUUUAUUACGUGAAACGAGCUCUUGAAACCGACUGAUUAUAAAUUACAUUCGUCAUAUAAUUGACAAAGUUUGCAUAUAGUUGAAUCUUGAUUAAA